AUCCAAAUGUUCUUCUACUACUGCUUCAUGGAAUUGUAGGUGAAACGUCUUAAGUGAAGAUUUUCAUUGGUCUUUUAAAAUAAGCUGCCAAAGGUCAUCUGACAUAAUAGCUGAUGAAUUCAAGCCCAGUGGAUUUCAUUUGCAAUUUUCAAUUUACUGAGGCCUCCAAACCCCACGGUGAUAAAAGCUUCCCCUAUCGUGGCCUGUCACAAACAUCAAGAAACUGCACAAACCCACAAGAAAGAAAAAAGAGAAAGCUGUGCAUCAUCACAGCUAUAGAUAAGGAGAACAGGAAGAAAUGGUAUCAUGCAGGAAGAUGGGGAGCAGCCUGUGUGGCUAGUUCUCUAAAUGCCAAUUGAAACGAAAAGACUAUGAGGAACAAUCAAAUAACUUCCACAGAAUAACAACAUGUUUCUUUGGAGCUUUUAUGUGAAAAUUGCCUUCUAAUCUCUGACUUGACAUGCUCCCACACAAAAAUGUAAGUGUAAAUAUGCAAAUAAAUAAAUGAAUAAAUAAUCCUUGCUUACCUGGUCACUGGAAAGCACACUCUCUGUGCUGUAUUUACCACAGUUUUGCUUUACAAAAUGCAUGCUCAUAGAGGGUCUUUGAUCAUGGAAGUGUAGGCUCAGC
rnacentral:lncRNA from 10 species